AGCGAACGCUGGCGGCAGGCCUAACACAUGCAAGUCGAACGCGUGUAGCAAUACACGAGUGGCAGACGGGUGAGUAACACGUGGGAACGUGCCCUUCGGUUCGGAAUAACUCAGGGAAACUUGAGCUAAUACCGGAUACGCCCUUACGGGGAAAGAUUUAUCGCCGAUGGAUCGGCCCGCGUCUGAUUAGCUAGUUGGUGAGGUAACGGCUCACCAAGGCGACGAUCAGUAGCNGGUCUGAGAGGAUGAUCAGCCACACUGGGACUGAGACACGGCCCAGACUCCUACGGGAGGCAGCAGUGGGGAAUAUUGGACAAUGGGGGAAACCCUGAUCCAGCCAUGCCGCGUGAGUGAUGAAGGCCC
rnacentral:rRNA from 1 species